CUCUGGGGAGCUGAGCCCCCGGGUGCUGUCUGGGCGCGGGGAAGGACCCUGGGAGGGCGCAGGGGAAGGAGCCUGGUCCUCUGACUCCAGAGUUGGAGCUGAAGGUCAAAGGGUGGUGGAAAUAGACGGGACAGGCGCUGAUGACUGCGGAUUUAAGGACUGUGAAAUCGUCAUUCCUCCGUCUACCACCCAUUUCUCACUUGUAAGGGUUUUUUUGUGCAAUGAGAUGUGUGCCUACUGGAAUCUAUUGAGAACAAUCAAAAGUGAAUUCUUGGUUUUAAAUGAACUAUAUUUAAGAGAGUUUCAGCUUACCAUGUAAUUUCAGAAGGAAUUCUAAUACUCUGGAUAAUCAGAUCUUUCUCGAAAACUUCCAAGUUACAGGAAGGAUCUGCUCUUACAGUCAAGGAACAUCAAGUGUACCUCGUUGAAUUCCACUGAAAUGAUACCAAAGAAUGAUGGCUAAAUGCUACAAUUGGAAAUCAUUUCUGCUUCUCAAGAGGUUGAAAAGAGCUUGUAUUUCUCAUUUUUCCAAAUAGUGUGGAUGUGAGCAAAACCUUUUGUAUCCUAACCAAUCCAAAGUUUGUUGGGUGAUGGAAGCCCAAAUUUGUUCUGAUAUUACUAUGAAAAAUAAUCUCAUGUGAAAAGAAUAAAACCAAUGUUGUAAUAUAUUAUGUCCAACAUUACUUUAAAUAAAAAAUUAACU